rnacentral:rRNA from 1 species
GAUGAACGCUAGCGGCAGGCCUAACACAUGCAAGUCGAGGGGGAGGUUACUUUCGGGUAACUGAGACCGGCGUACGGGUGCGUAACGCGUAUACAAUCUGCCUUUCACUGGGGGAUAGCCCGAAGAAAUUUGGAUUAAUACCCCAUAGUAUAGUAAUACGGCGUCGUGAUGCUAUUAAAGCUUAGGUGGUGAAAGAUGAGUAUGCGUUCUAUUAGCUAGUUGGAGAGGUAACGGCUCCCCAAGGCGAUGAUAGAUAGGGGUUCUGAGAGGGAUGUCCCCCACACUGGUACUGAGAUACGGACCAGACUCCUACGGGAGGCAGCAGUGAGGAAUAUUGGACAAUGGUCGGAAGACUGAUCCAGCCAUGCCGCGUGCAGGAUGAAGGUCUUAUGGAUUGUAAACUGCUUUUGUAAGGGAAGAAUAAGGGCUACGCGUAGUUUGAUGACGGUACCUUACGAAUAAGCAUCGGCUAACUCCGUG